rnacentral:rRNA from 1 species
AUCUUCCGCAAUGGACGCAAGUCUGACGGAGCAACGCCGCGUGAGUGAUGAAGGUUUUCGGAUCGUAAAACUCUGUUGUUAGGGAAGAACAAGUAUCGGAGUCACUGCCGGUACCUUGACUGUACCUGACGAGAACGCCCCGGCUCACUACGUCCCAGCAGCCGCGGUAAUACGUAGGUGGCAAGCGUUGUCCGGAUUUAUUGGGCGUAAAGCGCGGGAAGGAGGUCGUUUAAGUCUGAUGUGAAAUCUUACAGCGUAACGGUAAGCGGUCAUUGGAAACUGGGAGACUUGAGGGCAGAAGAGGAGAGUGGAAUUCCAUGUGUAGCGGUGAAAGGCGUAGAGAUAUGGAGGAACACCAGUGGCGAAGGCGACUCUCUGGUCUGCAACUGACGCUGAGGCGCGAAAGCGUGGGGAUCAAACA